ACAUACGACCAUACCUAUUAGAAAGCUCGGGAUCCCGUCCGCUCUCCCAUAGAUAAGCUAAUAAGGGGCGGAUUAGUAGUUAAGUCGGUGACGAUUAGCGAAUCCCCGCUGUUGUAUGUU
rfam:Nectria haematococca mpVI 77-13-4 chromosome 11 genomic scaffold NECHAsca_36_chr11_2_0, whole genome shotgun sequence.